GUGAGGAAUUUUCCGCAAUGGGCGAAAGCCUGACGGAGCAAUGCCGCGUGAAGGAUGAAGGCCUAUGGGUUGUAAACUUCUUUUCUCAGAAAAGAAUUAUGACGGUAUCUGAGGAAUAAGCAUCGGCUAACUCUGUGCCAGCAGCCGCGGCAAGACAGAGGAUGCAAGCGUUAUCCGGAAUGAUUGGGCGUAAAGCGUCUGUAGGUUGUUUAAAAAGUAUUCUGUCAAAGAUUAGGGCUUAACCCUAGAUAGGCAGAAUAAACUUUUAAGCUAGAGUUUGGUAGAGGCAGAGGGAAUUCCCGGUGGAGCGGUGAAAUGCGUAGAUAUCGGGAGGAACACCAAAGGCGAAGGCACUCUGCUGGGCCAAUACUAACACUGAGAGACGAAAGCGAGGGGAGCAAAUGGGAUUAGAAACCCCUGUAGUCC
rnacentral:rRNA from 1 species